UAGAGCUUGUUUGGGCAGUUUUUGCAAAAAUGAUCAAUAAUAAGGACUAAAUUGAAAUUUUGCGUAUUGUGAUGGAUAAUUGAUUUGAUGGGCCCAGGAGGGGCUGUGUGAUAUGAUUGAACUGUUGAUAUAUGGAUUGUGAAUAUAGAAGUGCGUUUUUAGCCCUUUUGCAGGUUGGGUAGGUCCUAGGUAUAGGGGAGACUCUGCCGGAUUUUCGGCACGACUUAGGACGUAAUUGGUCUUUUUCUUUGUUUGUAUUGAGUCAGAUUGUAUUAAUUAGAUGUAAUGUAAUUGUCAGGUGAGCCGGGACAGCCUUCUUCCUCCGCCCAGCCGCCACAGUAAUUUGUCGUCAAGUCUGCCACAGGAGGAUAUUUUAUUCUGGGUUAACCUGCUUUUAUCCUUCGCAGGUUGUUUAUCCAUGUUUGUGUAAUUUUAAUUACUCCUAGAAUUUCCGCAUGUGUUAGCAGUAUUUAUUUGAAUUUGGUCUGUAAUAUUUUUAUCAUGUUGGACCUGUAAACUUAAAUA